UAAGAUUUAUUUCAGAAAAUGAACAUCUGUAAAUGAAAUCGUGGGAGAAUAGGGCUGCUCAAACCAGAUAAGAAGUUAAUUGAUCGAAAAUAACUCAUCAUAUUUUGCAAAAGUAUACUUGCAUUAAAUUGAAUAGGAAGCACAAUCAUUGAGAACAUGAUAACCUUGUUUUUAAUUGCACUGCUGCCACUAGGAUCUUUUGGUCAGUUGGUGUUGGGAUUCUGUCCGGAACCUCCAAAAUUCAUAAGGGAUUUGAAUCUUGAAAAAUAUUCUGGAAAAUGGUAUGCUGUAGCACAAAGCCGAUAUCAUCCAAUGGGGGCUCAAUCAUGCCAAUUUGUUGAAUAUACACCAAGAAGUGAAGAUGGGUUUGAUGUGCACUAUGAAGCAAUUGGCUCGCCGUAAGUUA